rnacentral:rRNA from 1 species
UAGGGAAUCUUGCGCAAUGGGCGAAAGCCUGACGCAGCCAUGCCGCGUGAAUGAUGAAGGUCUUAGGAUUGUAAAAUUCUUUCACCGGGGAAGAUAAUGACGGUACCCGGAGAAGAAGCCCCGGCUAACUUCGUGCCAGCAGCCGCGGUAAUACGAAGGGGGCUAGCGUUGCUCGGAAUUACUGGGCGUAAAGGGCGCGUAGGCGGAUGUUUAAGUCGGGGGUGAAAGCCCGGGGCUCAACCUCGGAAUUGCCUUCGAUACUGGACAUCUUGAGUACGGGAGAGGUGAGUGGAACUCCGAGUGUAGAGGUGAAAUUCGUAGAUAUUCGGAAGAACACCAGUGGCGAAGGCGACUCACUGGCCCGUUACUGACGCUGAGGCGCGAAAGCGUGGGGAGCAAACAGGAUUAGAUACCCUGGUAGUCCACGCCGUAAACGAUGAGUGCUAGUUGUCGGCAUGCAUGCAUGUCGGUGACGCUGCUAACGCAUUAAGCACUCCGCCUGGGGAGUACGGUCGCAAGAUUAAAACUUAAAUGAAUUGACGGGGGUCAUAGCUGUUUCCU